CUUGUUCUGGAUAAGCGCCAAUGAUGUUAUGCUCCCAAGAAAAGCUCGUAAACCUCUCUUUUGAGAAAAACAUAAAAAUUACCUGUACCUGAAACCGACACAGGUAGGUUGCUAGAAAAUACCAAGGGGCGCGAGAGAACUCUCUCUAAGGAACUCGGCAAACUAGCCCCGUAACUUCGGGAGAAGGGGCGCCCUUUGAAAGAAGGGUCGCAGUGACGAGGUUCUGGCAACUGUUUAUCAAAAACACAGGUCUCCGCAAAGUCGUAAGACAAUAUAUGGGGGCUGACGCCUGCCCAGUGCCGGAAGGUCAAGGAAGUUGGUUAGAAAUUUUUCGAAGCUGACGACCGAAGCCCCGGUGAACGGCGGCUGUAACGAUGACAGUCCUAAGGUAGCGAAAUUCAUUGUCGAGUAAGUUUCGACCUGCACGAAAGGCGUAAUGAUCAGAACGCUGUCUCAGAGAGAGGCUCGGUGAAAUAGACUUGUCCGUGAAGAUGCGGACUACUAAUACUUGGACAGAAAGACCCUAUGAAGCUUGACUGUAUCCUGGAAUUGGGUUCGGGCUUUUCUUGCGCAGUCUAGGUGGGAGGCUAUGAAGAUUUCCUUCCGGGGAAGUUGGAGCCAACAGUGAGAGACCACUCUGGAGAGGCUAGAAUCCUAACGGUGAUCCUUGAAUCAGGACACUUGACAGUUUCAGGUGGGCAGUUUUUCUGGGGCGGAAGCCUCAUAAAAGGUAACUGAGGCGCGCAAAGGUUCCCUCAGUCUGGACGGAAAUCAGACAGCGAGUUAAAGGCAAAAGGGAGCUUGACUGCAAGACCUACAAGUCGAGCAGGAGCGAAAGCUGGCCUUAGUGAUCCGACGGUGCCGUGUGGAAGGGCCGUCGCUCAACGAAUAAAAGUUACUCUAGGAUAACAGGCUGAUCUUCUCCAAGAGUUCACAUCGACGAGAAGGUUUGGCACCUCGAUGUCGGCUCAUCACAUCCUGGGGCUGGAUUAGGUCCCAAGGGUUGGGCUGUUCGCCCAUUAAAGUGGUACGUGAGCUGGGUUCAGAACGUCGUAAGACAGUUCGGUCCAUAUCCGGUAUUAGCGUUAGAAUAUUGAGGUCAGUCACUCAUAGUACGAGAGGACCUGUAGUGAACAUGCCAAUGGUGUACCUGUUAUUUUUCCAAAAGUAAACGCAGGGUAGCCACGCAUGGAGUGAAUAAGUACUGAAUGCAUCUAAGUACGAAGUCCAGACCAAGAUGAGUAUUCUCCAUGAAGCCGCAGCAAGACAAGCUGUGGUAUAGGUAUCAAGUGGAAGGCCAGUAAUGGUUUGAGCUGAGAUAUACUAAAGGCUCA
rnacentral:rRNA from 1 species